AGCCGGGCUGGGCUGGGCUACGCGGCUGGAGCCGGGCUCUAGCCAGAGCAAGACCCUGAUGGCUGCGGUGUUUCUGGUAACGCUUUAUGAAUACUCGCCGCUUUUCUACAUCGCGGUGGUCUUUACCUGCUUCAUCGUGACCACCGGCCUGGUAUUGGGAUGGUUUGGUUGGGAUGUUCCAGUAAUUCUGAGAAAUUCAGAAGAGACCCAGUUCAGCACAAGAGUUUUCAAAAAGCAAAUGAGACAAGUCAAGAAUCCUUUUGGCGUAGAGAUCACUAAUCCAUCUUCAGCUUCAAUUACAACUGGCAUAACCUUGACAACAGAUUGCCUUGAAGAUAGCCUCCUUACAUGCUACUGGGGGUGCAGUGUUCAAAAAUUAUAUGAAGCUCUGCAGAAGCACGUUUAUUGCUUCAGAAUAAGCACUCCCCAAGCAUUAGAAGAUGCUCUGUAUAGUGAAUAUCUCUAUCAGGAACAGUAUUUUAUUAAAAAGGAUAGCAAAGAAGAAAUAUAUUGCCAGUUGCCAAGAGAUACAAAAAUUGAAGACUUUGGUACAGUACCCAGAUCUCGCUAUCCAUUGGUAGCGCUAUUGACCUUAGCUGAUGAGGAUGACCGGGAAAUUUAUGAUAUUAUUUCCAUGGUGUCAGUGAUUCAUAUUCCUGAUAGGACUUAUAAACUAUCCUGCAGAAUAUUGUAUCAAUAUUUACUCUUGGCUCAAGGUCAAUUUCAUGAUCUUAAGCAACUUUUCAUGUCUGCAAAUAAUUUCACUCCCUCCAACAAUUCCUCUUCAGAAGAAAAAAACACAGACAGAAGUUUGUUGGAAAAGGUGGGACUCUCUGAAAGUGAAGUUGAGCCAUCGGAAGAGAACAGCAAGGACUGUGUUGUUUGCCAGAAUGGGACUGUGAACUGGGUGCUCUUACCAUGCAGACACACAUGCCUGUGUGAUGGCUGUGUGAAGUAUUUUCAGCAGUGCCCAAUGUGCAGGCAGUUUGUUCAGGAAUCUUUUGCACUUUGCAGUCAAAAAGAGCAAGAUAAAGACAAACUGAAGACUCUUUGAAGACAUUGUAACACUGAAAAGUACACUUUCUACUAAACAUGCAGAAAUUGAUGAUCUUGGAAUUCAUCAUAACAUGGAAUCUAUUGUACUGACCAUCAAUGAAAAUUCUAUUUUAACUUCCUAUUUGUAUGGUACUUGGAUGAUAAAAAUUAAUUAUUCCUUUCUGCUUAGUGAAUGAAUAUUGGAAUCCACCUGUGUUGAUACAUAAAAAUUCAUUCAACUCUUGAAAAGAA
rnacentral:sRNA from 1 species